rnacentral:lncRNA from 1 species
AAUAUUCUUAACAUCUCUGUUAUUUCCCGUAGGUUUGUCAAAUCAAAUUUGCACUAAUCUUUUGGGUCGAAAUUAGCACUAAAUUUUAACAAACGGGCACUUCCAUACCAGGAAAUUUGAUUAUCAUACAUCUGAGAUUGCUGAAAGGUACUAUUCAAGCAAUUCAUGGGAAAGAACAAAGAACAGAUGAUGGGUUGCUAAUACACAAACAUACAUACAUACAUACACUUUAAAUACUAAGUAAUCUUUUUCGACUCUUCUUCUUUUGCUUCUGCUUCUGCUGCUGCUGCUGCUUCUGUUCCUUCCUCGAAAUUAACCCGUCGUUGAUCUAACGGCGGAGCGACCCAGCACUUCUUGCCAAAUAACUUGAUGCAUCUCUGCACUUGGAUUCUAUAGAAACCAUUUUCUUUAGUAUCCUUGUAGAACUCGACUCUAUCACCUUCGCAAAGGUGGCCACACCUAACAAAUUGAAGCCAACCUCCGCUGAAGAUUGGUUUCGGGUGGCCAUUCUUGCGAGUGGAUAAAGCAAAGGACCAUAUACUUCCAUUUUGAUCCUCAACCCGAAGUUGCGCGCUAUUGCUACCAUGAAAUUCGAAAUCCUUCAAACACGUAAAAGGAAUCGACAGCCUUUUCUGGACGUCAGUCUCCGUUAGAGUCUUUGCGAACAACAACUCCAUAUCGCUUCUCAAAACUCCAGUGAAAGCUCCGACUUGAAGAUUUUGUUUUGGUCUUUUUAAUAAUAUAAGAGAAAAAUAAUACUGGGUCCCACUAUGUUCCAAGGAAGACUUUUUCAAUAUAUUACGACACCCACUAUUUUAAUAAAAAUAAUUUUUUCAAUACCGACACAAAUCAACUUUGACUUUUUUUGUUAAUAAUAAAAUAUUUCUGACGCCAUAAACGCAAAAUUUUAAUAACUGUGUGAUUAAUUAGGUAAAUUCAAGCAAUGAGAAAGAAACUGUGCAGUCUAUCUAUCUGUCUACCCAAGUUCACAAGCCCAUCUGAUGAUUAAGUGGAAAAGCCCAACCUAGCCCAAUGUAAAAAUAAAUUACACAUUGCCAUGUUGCUCAAAAAAAAUUAUAUUUUCUAUGUAUAGCCAUAUAUUUAUUCAGUAUUUACACGUAUAUAGAUGCAUCAAUGAAAUAUUUAAAUGAUUCAACGACAACAUCAUCUUAUGGUAUAAUUUAAUAUUAAUAUAAUUAUGACAUGUUCUUUUGACGUUUGAAGUUAUAGCAUAUGGGCUUGGAUAGGCAGCUCAUAGGUUUUCAGAUUUCGUAAUUAGGAUGUUAAAUUACUAAUUUUGUUGUAAAAAUUAAAAAAAAUAACACAUAAUUUCUCAUAUCUAAUAAUUGAACUAUUAUUACGGUGUAAGUUUUCACCGUACAUUUUCUACGGGCCGCUUUUAAAGGUAAAUUUUCACCCAGCUUACAUUUUCUUACCCUACAAGCAAAUAAUUGAAAUAUUGUAUUCAAGUUUUGUGUAGUAUGUACCUAGCCAACCAAAAUACUAUCCACUCCAGUCAUACCAACCCCAAUGUAUUAGAAUAUUCCAAUGAAUUAAAUUCUCUUCAUUCUAGAAACAUACGGGUGCAUGCCUAUCCAUACCAUCUUUCAAACAUUGCAUUGAAAAAUGUUUCCUUCCGCAGAAUGCAACCCUACAAGGAUUGUAAACACACGGUUCUUGGCACCUUCUUUUCAACCAUCGUCGCGUUAAAAAUAUUUCCUCCCGUAGAAUGUCAAAGUAAUGAAGCCCACCAUUCUGCAUUACUGGGGCUAGUGAAAACUGUCUACUAAGGUAAGGUAGGCGAGCUAACCAAAUGAAGGAGACUCCUACUUUUCUCGUUUCACAAUGUAUCAAAAGCAUAAAAAAGGGUUAUAGCCAACGCACAAAACAAAAGAAAAGAAAUGGUAAAAUUAUCUUUGAUUAAUUAAAACAUGCAGGAGCUGUAUAUAUGUUAUAAUUCAAUGGCUGGAGAAGGAGCAAAUAUAUUGUUUCAUCAAUUACAGGACAAGCAUUAAUUAUAUAUGUAUAUCUCAGUAAUAAUUAAGAAAGAAAGUAAAGCAAGUCAGGAAGGGAACAAAGAAAGCAUUAUAUAUGCAUGACUUGCUUUAAAUCAGAACUCUUUGAUGAAAUCAUGGGCUUAGCACAAAAUACGCAAAAAAAAAAAAUGUCAAAAGUUAUCUGGUUUGGGUUUGAAGUCUAAAAGGGCAUGUGGUGGCUUGAUGCUUUUUCAAAGGAAGGAAAUAUUUUUUUUUAACCAAAUGGCCUACGGGAAAUGUAGGUAGCUGGACACGAAAUUUAGAGGGAUCCUUCCCAACGGAGGAAAUAUUUUUUUAAUCAAGUGGACAAAGAAAAAUGCGGAUAGAGGCAAAAACACGAGAUUUAGACUGGCUUAAUCUUCCUAAGGGGGAAAUAUAUUACAAUCAAAUGACUAAGAAAAAAUGUAAGAUAGACUGACGCAAAUUUGGACCGACUUUUUUCUAAGGGAGGAAAUAGUUUUAUAAUCAGAAGGCGUAAGAAAAUGUAGAUGGAUCAUAUAAAGGCAAGAUUUAAAGUGAUUUUUUUCUAUGGAGGAAAUAUUUUUUAAUCAAGUGGAAGCAAGAAAUCAUGUCGUGGAAAUGAUUUUUAAUUUUUGAUAUGAAAUCAAGAAAUCGGUUCGUUGUUCACAUUUUUCUCCUAGACAAGAAAAUGCUAUUAGGGCUUAAUUUUUAAUUUUACUAUAUUUUUUUAGUUAUUAUUCUCUUAUUUUAUCUCUUAUUUAACCUAAAAUGAAAUGCAAAUGUGAGGGUAGAUGAAAUGCAUGAUGUGGGAUAAAAAUAUGUCAGACGAAUAACCUUUUAUGAGGAUAUUCUCCCGAAUCUGUCCAUCAUACUGGUAGGAUUUGGGAUAUUCUCUCACUUAGAGAAUUAUUCAAAAAAUUCAUCUUCGCAAAUUUAACGAAUAAUUCUCAUCAUCGGGGUCACCGUACGUUUUUCUUUAAAAAUAACGUUUUCGUGCAUAAUGAACCUAAUAUGAGCAAAAACCUUUUAUUAAAGAUAUUUCUCGAGCCCUCCCAUCAUAUUGGUGGGGCCCGAGGACACAUUUUUACCUAGGGAACUUUUCGAGGAAUACCAACCUUCGCAAGAUUUUCGGAAGAUCCCAUCAUCGGGGCUUAAAGUCGAAAACAAAAAUAUUUAUAUGCAAUGAUAUGCAUGAUGCAGCAUAUAUAUAUGCUAUACUAAUGUAAUUAUCUAUAAUUUUUUUGUCAUUUUUUUAUUAUUUAAUUAUUAUUUUUAUUUUAUUUUUUAUUAUCAUGUUUUAUAUUUUUAUUUCUAAUUAUUAUUUUUUAUACUUUACGCUUUUUAUUCGAGGUUACUCUUAUAUUUUCCUUUUAUAAUUAGAUAAAUUGUUUAUAACUCCAUUUAAUGCCUAAUUUUAAAUUAGUUCUUGUCUUAGAUUUUUAUUAUUAUUUAUUUUUUUAAUUUUCUAUUUAUUUAAUGUCAUGUAUAUUGCAUUUUCACAAAUUAAUUAUUUACUAUAUAUUCAAAUUAUUAUUAUUAUUUUUAUUAUCAUAUCAUUUUUUUAUCUAUUAUUAUUUAUUUAUUAUUUUUAUUGAGUAAUUUUUGUAUAGUCAAAUUCUUUAUUUAUUAAAAAUUUCGGGAUCUUGAAAUCGAGGCCCUCCCAUUGUACUGGUGGAGCCUUGAUUCGGAUUCCGAACCUAGGGAAUAUGGGCCCGGGAUUGUGACUUCUCGCGUCCCGACCGAUCAUUCCAUCAUCAGUAUAUUAUACUUGUAGUUAAUAUAAUGAUAUAUUUUUAUUUUUUUUAUAGACUUAACUUUCUAAUAUUGAUUCUCAUACUUAUUUUAUUAUAAUUAUUUUAAUAUUUAAUCUAUUAGUUUCUAAUUCUUGUUUAACCUAUAUAUAUAUUUUUUAGCCUAUCAUUUAUUUGUUUCAUUCGUUCUCAUAUUAUUAUUGUUUUAUUAUUUUUAUUCUUGUUAUAUUCAUUCUCUAAAUCUAACACUAUAAAUAUAUUUUAUUUAGCAAUUUACUUUUGUUUUGCAUAUAUGCUUCAUUUACUUAAGUGCAAAUAUUCUUUUCAUUUUUAAACAUCUCUAUUACUAUGUGUACAUAUAUAUAUAUAUAUUAUAUUUUUCCAUUGAUAUUUUAUUUUAAUAUUUGUGUAGUUUAGAACAUCAAGUUAAAACUAUUAAAUCUAGAUCAUACCUAUUUAAACAUUAAUCCUAAAACCAUAUAUAAUAAAUCAACCUAAAUCACCCAACAAAUUUGAGAAAAAUAAAAAGGUUUACCUUUGUGGGUCAAGUGGACCCAAGCUGUCAGGCCAACCCGCUGCCAGUCCCCAAAGCACUGUUCGGCCCUUUUAUCUAGCAGCUCUUAAACCUUAGUGUGCCAAAACGGCGUCGUUUGAAGGACUGAAUAUGAACUCUUUGUGGGUCAAAACGACGUCGUUUCACAGUCACCAAACCUUAACUAUAAAACCCUCAUUUUCUCCUUUCCUCUUCAUUUUCUCUUUUCUAUUUCUCUUUCUAGCCGCCGGAUUCUCUCCUCUCUCUCUAAAAAUCUCACCUUUCUCUCUCACACUAAUCCCUCUUCACCGGCCACCGCCCAAGAUUAGCUUCCUACCGUCGGUCGGCUCGUCUCUCCCUUUUCUUCCCUUCGCUGGCAGCUCCCUCUUUUCACUCACCGUUCCUCUCAUUUUCACCCUCUCACCAGAUCUUCACUGUCGUUGGCGCUACACCGUUACCAGAUCUAGUGCUGCGGCGUCGCCUCUCUCUUUCUCUCUAUCUCCUCUUCCUUCUUGUCGACUACCCAGAUUAGGCUCCUCACCGCCGCUGCUCAAAGAGACCGAACCUCUCUCUCUCUAGUUUACUUCCCAAUCGACGGCACUACCAAAUUUCCCUACCCCCUUUAAAUCUCCCUAAAGCUGCAACCUUUUCUCACCAAUCUUUUCCUUGAAACCUCCCAAAAAAAUACCCAAACUAAGGAAUCCAAAAGCUAUCUUCCUACCUCUCCCCUUUUUUGUAUAUAUUUUUUGAUUAAUUCCUUUUUUUUUUUUUGGUUUUUGAAUUGUGGUUUUUGUGGUUGUUAGAAAGCUUGUUUUUUUUUUUGUUUCAAUUUUUUGGCCCCCUCCCCUUGGGUUGCUACAGUGCCCCCUUUAUACUGGGCUAAAGGGGGCACACUCCCACUACUCUACCAGACGUGAAUUUUUCACGUCUGGCAGGGGGAGGGUGGUGGCUGGCAGGGUGCGUCCGCACCUUGCCAGUCGUACCCUUUUUUUUUUCUAAUUCAUUUUUUGUCAUUUUUAUUUUUUGUUUAUGAUUUAUUAAUUAAUAAAAUUUUAUUAUUAUUAUUUUUUUAUAGUGUCUACAAUAGGGAAGGAAUAAGUUGUGUCUGCUGUUAAUGUUAUUCACAUAUCUGUUAAUUUUUUUUUUUUAGUUUUUUGGAUUGAUCCUUUCGUUGAAGUUCAUGUAGGAGCUACAUACACUAGUAUAUCUUUAAGGUUGCAGUUAUUGUGGCUUAGGGAUCCUUCGGCAACAACUCAUCAACUAAAAGAAAAAAAAUAAAAAAUUCAUCAAAAAUUAAAAUAACUUUACCUUUAUUUUUUUUCUUUUUUUUAUUUGUUCGUUUGUGUGUAUGAAAGAAUGAUUAUGAUGAUGACUAUUUUUUUCUUUUUUUUAUAAUUUAAAUAUUUUAUUAUCAGCUUUUGGAGCUUUGUAUCAUUGCUCUGCAUAAUUUGGGAAUGGUCAUUUGGGAGGGAAAAUUAAACAAAAAGGCGGGAAUUUCUAAUGGGCUUUACCCGCUGGGGUUCAUGGGCUGCUCAUCUGACUAAAAUUAGGCUUGGAUCGGGAACUACCAAACCCGAUAGUUUUCAAAAGCCCAGCCUAACCCAAUAUAAAAGCAAAUUACACAUUUUGAUCAAUAAAAUUAUUUGUAGAGUUUAAAAACUCCAUUGUCAUAUAUAUAUAUAUAUAUANNNNNNNNNNNNNNNNNNNNNNNNNNNNNNNNNNNNNNNNNNNNNNNNNNNNNNNNNNNNNNNNNNNNNNNNNNNNNNCUCGACUGACUCCACUCAGACUACCCCUUUGACGAAAAUUGGGCUUGGAUCGGGAAUACCAAACUCCGAUAGCUUUCAAAAGGCCAACCUAGCCCAAUAUAAAAACAAAUUACACAUUUUGAUCAAUAAAAUUAUUUGUAGAGUUUAAAAACUCCAUUGUCAUAUAUAAAAUAAUAAUCUUUAUUUAUUUUUUAAAUAGAAUUUUCAUUAUCUAGUGCUUAUAAAAGGAAAUUACUCUUUCAAACUGACAGCUAAGAGCUCAUCGAUUAUUAGUUAACUUGAAUCUUAGAGAUGAAGUAAAAUUGUCUCAUUGGAAAUAUUAAAUUAAAAUAAGAUAAUGUAUUCUUCCCAUUGAAUUACAAAUUUUUUCUUUCACUUUUGACCAAACCCAUCUUUCAUAAUCACAAUUUAAUAUGAAUAUAUAUAUUGUGAAUUCAGACAUGUUAUAUAAAUUUGUGUUAAUAAUAUUUUAAAUAAAUUUUAUUUAUAUCUCUUGUGAUUUUAACAUUUUCACAUAAUAUCGCAUGGUUUCUUUUCUCUCAAUUAGUAUCAUUUGGAUAAUUUUUAUUCACGUAGAAAAUUAAAUUGUUAAUUGUUUUAAAAUAAAAUUAUUAAAAUUAUACCCUCCGUUCAAGGGUAGUGAUAUGAAAAUCAUUAAUAACAACAAUCAUUCAAUAAAAUGAAGUGUUUUAGAUUUGUAAAGGAUAGUUAUCUUGGUUUUUAUUUUUGUCUAAAUUAUUUGAAUGAAUAUUAUCGUUAUCUAUGUUGUUGAUUCAUUCUUAUUGAAUAAGACUUCCUUUCAAUAAUAAGAAAAAAGAGAUUAGUGGAAACAGGGAGAGGCAUUUAGGCUGACUUUUUGUACGGGAGGAAAUUUUUUUUUUAAUCAAAUGGCGUAAGAAAAACGUUGAUACGCAUAGAUACAAGAUUAAUUGGACUGACUCUUUCUAGGGGAGGAAUAAUUUUUUAAUCAAUUGGAAGCUUCCCUCAAUAGAUAAUGUAGGAUUUGUUUUUUACGGGAGAAAAUAAUAAUAAUAAUAAUAAUAAUAAUAAUAAUAAUUAUGAUUAUUUUUAUUAUUAUAUAAUAUGAAAGUUAUGUAUAUUUAAUUAUUCAUAUAAAGUAACGCGGUGAAAUCGUGGACAUACAGGGGUAGGAAGUUGAUUAUUUUGAGAAAUGUCACCUAUACUUUGACCUCAACACAAAUAAUCCAAAUUAGCUGCUUACUUUAAAAUCAAAUAUGUUCCUAUUUUCUUCCUGGCUAAAAUUUUCGUACGAAUCGAAGCUUCUACCUAUAUAUUGACUUCAAAGGCAGUGGUUGGCUAUACUUAUUUUUUUUUUUUCAGUCAAAAUAAAAUUUUAUUAAAGUUUGCCUAUGAGAAAAAACAAAAGCAACAUCUUGUAAGCAUAGAGAAUACGCUCAAAAAACAGCUACAGCAUUUAAGCACAAAUCGUAAUAACAUGAUAAUAACACAGAGUACACCAUGAUCUCAUCACCAAGCAGACAAAGGAGAUGCUUAAUUAAUUUGAAGUGAUCAUAGAUUCCAUCGCCUUAUAUUCUUAAUUAUUUACCUUGUAUGAGUAAUUAAAUAUAUAAUAAUGUAUAAUUAUUUGAUUAAACAAUAUUUCCUCCCUUGGGAAAAAGUCACUAUAAACACAUGACUAAUGAUUCAUUAAUGUCCUAUAUUGAUCCCUUUUUCCUUUUUGACUUCCUUUCCUUUCUUUCUUAAUUAUUAUUGAUACAUACCUACAUACAUAUAGAAUGCUUGUCCCUUAUCCAGAUUUUUCUUAGGUAAUUGAUGAAACAAUAUUCCCUCCUUCUCCAGCCAUUGAAUUACAACAUACAUAGCUCCUGCAUGUUUUAAUUAGUCAAAGGCAAUUUUGCCACUUCAUUAUUAGCAUUAUUAUCAUUUUGGCCAUAACCCAUUUUUAUGCCUUUUGAUCAUACAUUGUCAAACGAUAAUGAAAAUUUUCCUUGUGGAAAAUUAAGAAGGCAUCUCCUCUGGCCCAGUCAUUAGUUGCUCAAUCGUGGGGCUUCAGUAACUUCACAUCACGUGCCAAAAGUCGCGUUUUACAAUGGCUAAAGGGGUCGCCGUCAACGGGAGGAAAUAUUAUUUAAUGUAACAAUUGAGAUCAGGUGUGUGUAGUUAGGCACCCUGUCUGUUUCAAGAAUUAAAUUCAGAGAAAAAAACAAAACUCCAAAACAUUAGUUGGCAUGGAUGAUUUGACUAUGUACGUAGGCUACCUACUCACCUUAUAUUUUCCUUUAAAAACCGAUCUGUCGAUUUCUGCCAACUAUAUGUCCAGCAUAACUCACCAAAACGAAAAGGAAAAAGUAUGUCUCCUGCCAACUAUAUGUUUGCUAUUUGCGUCUUUCUGGUAACUGUAUUCCUGGCUCUCGUCUUUCUGGUGGCGUAUGAUGCAUGCCGAAAGCUCCAUGCUAUUUCAUCUGCCUCCAAUUUUUUAAACCAACUGCUUGGUCGCGGUGGUCACCAUAAUGAAGAAAGAUUUCCUUGUUUUACUUCAAAGUUGGUAGCACUGACACCUCUUCUCCUUCCUUUCUUUUGCUGUUGGAUUUUCAAAACCUAUGCUUUACAGUAGGAUUUUACUUUCCACGCAUGAUAUCUGAAAAAUCUUUUAAAUUAUUUAAAAAAUUUUAAAUAAAUUUUUAUAUUUUUAUUACAUUCAAUCAAAUUUUUAUAUUUUUAUUUUGAGUUAAAUAAGUUAUUAUACUUUUAUUUUAAAUUAAAUUAACUCUUAUAACUAAUGAUUGAUUUAAUCAAAAUAUCAUUUAUUAUUUUAUAUUACAUAAUUUUAAUAUAAUAUGUUAAUAUAUUAUAAUUAAUAAUGAUAUUUUAGUUUAGAGACGCUUGAGGGACUUACAAAAGUUUUGUUAGACAAAAAACUAAAACGUUGUGAUGGAUAUUUGGAUAUUUUGGUUGAAAAAUUCCACUACAUAAAUUAUUCCAAAGACAUCUCACUUGGAAAAUAUUAUUUUUUCCUUUCCCCUAAGAUUGAUCACACAAAGCAAUGGAGCAUCAUCAUUUUAUACAACUAUUUUUCAAUUAUUUUUCUUUUUAAUCAACAAAGCAUAUCAUUAUUUAUUUUUAUUGAACUAUUUUAUAACGAUCAUUUUGACCUAUAAUUAUUUUUAUUAAAAUACUACAAUCUUUAAUAUAUAUAUAUAUAUAUAUAUAUAUAUAAUACCAAAAAUUAAGAUCAAUUAAAGAAAACAUUAAUAUAAAAUAGAAAAUAAAAUUCUCAUAUACGAAAACCUCUCUUCUUUUUAAAUUUUCAAUUUAUGAUUUAUUUACUUAACAAACUAAUUAAUAUAAGAAUAUAACGAGAAAUAAAUAAGUAAUUAAAAAUAUAUUGAACAAAUAUUUUAAAUAUCUUGCAUAAUUUAUGAAUAUUGAUAUUUUAAAUUAUUUUCUGAUUAUCAAAUAGAACCUUAAAAUGCAUCUAAUUUCAAAUAAACUCAUUUUGCUAUCUCUUUCUACCUGUAAGCUUUUAUACUGAUUUGAUCUUUUAAUGAAUGUUUUCUUGAACCAAAAUACUGCCUUUUUCGCCUUAUUGCAGCAACAGUAGCACAGCAAGCAACCCUAAGCAUGCCAUUUUUGGCUUCCUAAUAGCUGUAUUGCUCGCUCUGUUGCCACUGAAGUUCGGUUCCAUGAAUCCUUCUGCAGCUCCAUUUGAGACCUACAGUGCGAUCCUGUCGACAUUUCUCAUCAUUAUGGUUUUAUACGCCGUAGCUUGGGCAAUCGAAACUAAACUUGGAACCAACAAUAGUUCAUAUCGACUUCUCAUGAGCAACAUCAGUUUCUUAUUGGGAGGUCUUGCCACAGUUCUACUUGUAUUGAUCCUUGUCCCGGGUGUUGGGUAUUUUGCUCUUGUCAUUUGGACCCUCUUUCUUGUCAAGUUCAUAUAUGAAGCAUGCCAAAAGCUCCAUCAGCUGUACGGGGCAAUUUCACUUGCUUCUAAUUUAUGGAAUGAACUGCGGGGUCGUGGUCGCGGUGGCCAUGGCGGUGAUUAUCAGAAUGAAGGAAGAAUUAUGCUACCUGUUUAGAGCAACGUGUGUUUAUAGAUACUUUUUAAGCUUAACUAAGUUUUUUUAUUUUAAUAAAUGUGACAUAUGUAAUUAAGUUUUUAUCUCUUUGUACAAUUUUACUAAAAUAAUAAGUUAAUAACAAUUCGUUGUGCAUUCGUUCUCUUCUUCUUCGUGAUAAAAGAGGCUACCUUACUAAUUAAAGUGACUCUAAUGUGGUUAACGGGCAAUAGUUCACCUUUUAUUAUGUAAUCUAAUAGUACAUGUACCAAAAUUAAAUACAUUUUACUUCUCUUAACGUACUUUUGUUUUUUUUGUAAUUCUUCACACACAUAUAUAUACAAAGAAUUGCACUUGAGUAUUUAGUUCAGUGAUUGGUGCAUAAUCCCUCUGUUUUAAGAGUAAAGUUUCAAUAUCCUUUCUCAAUUAAAAAUAUAUAUAUAUACAAAGAAUUGUAAUAUUUUUUUUAAUCAAAUUGUCAAAGAUAGACGCGUAUAGAGAUAAACAUAAGAUUUAAACUCAUAUAAUCAACUUCUUAUCCCUAUAUGUCAAAGAUUUCACCGCCUCAUGUAACUUUCAUACUAUAUAAUAAUAAUAAUAAUAUAUAAUUAUCUGAUUAAAGAAUAUGGAAGGCAAAUCCUAUAUUCUCUAUUUAAUUCGUAAGGGAAGCUUCGAAUUGAUUAAUAAAGUAUUCCUCCCUAGAAAAGUCAGUCCAAUUAAUCUUGUUUCUAUGUCUAUCAACGGUUUUCUUAGGCCAUUGAUUAAAAUAAUAUUCCUCCGGUACAAAAAGUCAGUCUAAAUGCCUCUCCCUGUUUCCACUAACCUCUUUUUUCUUAUUAUUGAAAGGAAAUCUUAUUCAAUAAGAAUGAAUAAACAACAUAGAUAACGAUAAUAUUCAUUUAAAAUAUUAUUAACACAGGUUCAUACGCCAAUAUUUUUUAAUAGAAUGGGCAAUUCAAGUCUGAAGAGGCAGGUAGGCACCAAUUUUAUAUAUGUAUGUUUCGAGAACAAGACACAUAAAUGAAGGGAAGAAGAUUUGGAUUGACUUGGUAAAAAUUGUAUGAAAGAUAGAUAAACAAACAACUAUUUUCCCUCUACUUUCUUGCCUUUCUUCCUCUUUUUCUCCCACCGAACACACAGUGGAAACUUAGCCUGAAAGUGUCAGGGUCUCGACCAAUAAGCUUGCUUAAAUAUGUUAAAGAGGAAAUUAAGAUGUAGAGAUAAUUAGAAAGCUGGAAGUCGAUGUAACUGGUGGGAAGAAGUCUCGUUAUUCUGAUUAGACAACGCCCUCCUCCAUUGAAGGACUGGGAGGAGAAAUUAAGAUUCGCAAUAAAGAUGGAAUACUUAUCAAAAUAAAUAAAUAACGAAGGCAUAAGUUGAGUCUGCUGUUAAUAUUCUUAACAUCUCUGUUAUUUCCCGUAGGUUUGUCAAAUCAAAUUUGCACUAAUCUUUUGGGUCGAAAUUAGCACUAAAUUUUAACAAACGGGCACUUCCAUACCAGGAAAUGUGAUUAUCGUACAUCUGAGAUUACUAUUCAAGUAAUUCAUUGGACAGAACAAAGAACAGAUGAUGGGUUGCUAAUACACAUACAUACACACUUUAAAUACUAAAUAUUCUUUUUCGACUCUUCUUCUUUUGCUUCUGCUUCUGCUGCUGCUGCUGCUUCUGUUCCUUCCUCGAAAUUAACCCGUCGUUGAUCUAACGGCGGAGUGACCCAGCACUUCUUGCCAAAUAACUUGAUGCAUCUCUGCACUUGGAUUCUAUACAAACCAUUUGCUUUAGUAUCCUUGUAGAACUCGACUCUAUCACCUUCGCAAAGGUGGCUACACCUAACAAAUUGAAGCCAACCUUUGCUGAAGAUUGGUUUCGGGUAGCCCUUCUUGCGAGUGGAUAAAGCAAAGGGCCAUAUGCUUCCAUUUUGAUCCUCAACCCGAAGAUGCGCACUAUUGCUACCAUGAAAUUCGAAAUCCUUCAAACACGUAAAAGGAAUCGACAGCCUUUUCUGGACGUCAGUCGCCGUUAGAGUUUUUGAGAACAACAACUCCAUAUCGCUUCUCAAAACUCCAG